rnacentral:rRNA from 1 species
GACAGAGGUGGCAAGCGUUGUUCGGAAUUACUGGGCAUAAAGGGCGCGUAGGCGGUCAGAUAGGUCAGGGGUGAAAGCCCUCGACUCAAUCGGGGAAUUGCCUCUGAAACCAUCUGACUAGAGUGCAAGAGGGGAGAGUGGAACUCGAGGUGGAGCGGUGAUAUGCGUAGAUAUCUCGAGGAACGCCGGUGGCGAAAGCGACUCUCUGGUUUGCAACUGACGCUGAGGCGCGAAAGCCAGGGGAGCGAACGGGAUUAGAUACCCCCGUA